rnacentral:lncRNA from 1 species
CAAACCUUAGUCUCUCUCUCUCUCUUGUUUCUCUCUCUAAAUCUCUCCAUAUCUAUCUUCUUCCAUCCAAAAUUCUUUUCCCAAUAUUUUCCCACUUUAUUUCUUUCCAAUAUACUAUUUUUCCUUAAAUUAUUUGGUCAGUUUCGAAACCAUUAAAAACUCUCACAAAUUCCACCGGUUUCCAACCUAACACAGCUCCUCCUCUUGGUCACUUUCCCGUAUAAAAAAAUAUCAAACAGACUUACAUUCUUUCUCUCAUCAUAUCCAUCUAUAUCUCCGUAUCUCUCUCUCUCUCUCUCUCUCUCUCUGCGAGUUUGUUCACAGCUCUGUGUUGUACAGUGAGUUCUCUUUUCUGGGUUGCUGAGAAUUUAAGGGAAAUCAAUACUUGUGCUUUUUUGGGUUGUUGGGGUUUGACUUUAUGAUUCAGUUUCUCUGCAAUGACACGGCUGUUUUCUUCUCUCUUUUCAAUAUUUUCUCAGCAACCAAACAGAAACUUCUUGUUGUUGUUGUUUUCUGAAUGUGUAAGGUGUUUUUGCAGGCUGAAUGUGUAAGGUGUUUUCGCAGGAAACUUGUUCUUCACUGAUAUCAUAUAGCUUUGUUGUUGGAUCAAUCCGACUCCCUCUCAGGUUAUCCUCAUUACUUGUUUCCAAUUCUUCCAGUUAUGUUUGUUUGCAUAGAAAAUUUAUUUUUUAAUCGAGAAAGAUAAAGUCUUUUGCUCAAAGGCUGUGUUUAUGCAUCAUGGUAAAUGAUAAAUCAAUAAGAUUUUGAGUCUUUAAAAUAAAAAAUAUUUAAAAAAAAACUUUGUGAAUUAAAUAUGCUGAUGAAAAACAGAGCAAAAAUUGCAAAAGUUGCUGUGACAAGUAAUGGUUUUUGGAAUUUAAUUUUUACUUGAUUUAGUCUGUUACGUGAGGAUAUGAAUAAUGAACAGAGGUAAGGAGAAUCCUAUGAAUAGUCGAAUCAGAUAUGUAUUUGCAUUUAUUGAAAAUUAUUCCUUGCUUCCGUUAUUUUUAUGCAGAUAAGCUUGAUGCAUAAGAGUGUGUAUAUAUGAGUUUAUUUGGAAGUGCUUUUAAAACGACUGAAAGUGCUUUUGGUGGAAUUGUUUUUGGGCAAGAAGCACCAGAUAACUUUUCUGGAAUCCGCUUGGAUUAUUAGCAUGGAUUGGUUUUAAAAACAUUUCACCAAAAGCGAUUUCAGUCGUUUCAAAAGCACUUCCAAAACGAUGCAUAUGUGUGUGUGAAGUCGAUGUUUUGUGGACAAAAUUUAAACUGCAAGUCUUUUCGAUUUCGUGAAUAAUUCGAUUAAUAUUGCUGCUCUGAGAAGUUGAUUUGAAGAUCAUUCUAGUUAAUUGAAGAUUUUAGAAAUGGCUUUGGAUGUGAAAAACACUAUUUGAUGCAGAAUCUGCUUUUAAGUUAAUAAACGAGGUAUUUAUAUGCAUACAUUUUAGUAAACUCCUUCCAUUUAAUGUUUUUGUAUUGUAUUUUUUUUAAUUACUGUUGUUGUUGUUAUUUUUCUGUCUAUGGGUCUAGAUUAUGAACUCUUCUUGUUACAUUUUAGCAAAUUUGCGUAUGAAUAUGGAGAGGCAGAAUUAGAUCCUAAUGGUUAUACGAAUCGCUCUGAAAGAAUGGUGUUUUCGUUAGAAAUCUGCUCAAUCUGCAAUGCUUUAUGAUCUUCUUUGUCUAGAUAUAGGGAUCGGAUGCUGCACCAAUUACUAAAUUUUUUCGUUCUUGUGAUGAUUGAUUGAAUGUCUGUUCUUAGUAUUGCCGGGUUCAUCUUAGGUCUUUUGCUGCCUUUCAUAUAGGUUCUUACUUUGCACAAAAUCUUGGUUGUAGAUUAUUUGGAACUCCAAGUCAUUAAACUGGCGUAACAGCGCAUAACUGCAAUCAUGUUGUCAAGAUCUUGCUUAAGUUUGUUGGAAUUGUCAUCUGGGGACAUGUUGAAUUUUCCUCAGACUCCCAGAAACCUCCCAAGGGUGAUGACUCUUCAAGGAGUUAUUCCUGAUGCAGAAAGUAGCGACGGCAUUAAUAAUGAAGACAUAAAUGUUCCUCCUUCGGAAGUAUGUGAAAAGAAGAUCAUAGUGGCGAAUUUUCUCCCUCUACAUUCUCAGAAGGAUGCAAAAUCUGGGAAAUGGUGCUUCAGUUUUGAUGAGGAUGCACUUUCGUUGCAACUCAAAGAUGGUUUCCCUUCUGGUACUGUGGUAAUAUAUGUCGGUUCUCUGAAGGUUGACGUAGAAGCAAGUGAGCAAGAAGAAGUUUCACAGAAACUGCUGGAGGAGUUUAAUUGUGUGCCGACAUUCCUUCCUUCCGAGCUGCAUAAGAAGUAUUAUCAUGGGUUCUGUAAGCAAUAUUUGUGGCCUCUCUUUCACUACAUGCUGCCCAUGUAUCCGGACCUUAGUAGUCGCUUUGACAGGCAACUUUGGCAGGCAUAUGUUUCUGCUAACAAGAAAUAUGCCGAUAAAGUUAUGGAGGUGAUCAAUCCUGAAGAUGAUUGUGUAUGGGUUCACGACUAUCACCUUAUGCUUCUUCCAACGUUUUUGAGAAGGCGGUUCACACGAGUUAAGCUUGGCUUUUUCCUCCACUCCCCCUUCCCCACAUCAGAAAUCUACAGGACCCUUCCUGUCCGAGAUGAAAUUCUGAGAGCACUGCUAAAUGUAGAUUUGAUUGGUUUCCACACGUUUGAUUAUGCUCGCCACUUCCUUUCUUGUUGUAGUAGAAUGCUUGGCCUUGAAUAUGAAUCGAAGCGGGGCUACAUUGGACUUGAAUAUUUUGGCCGCACAGUGUACAUUAAGAUUCUGGCGGCGGGGAUACACAUGGGCCAACUUGAAUCUGCGUUAAAUCAUCCCUCUUCUUCCAUGAAGGCCAAAGAGAUUCAAGAGCAGUUCAAGGGGAAGAAAAUCAUUGUUGGUGUCGAUGACAUGGACAUAUUUAAGGGCAUCAGUCUAAAGUUGAUGGCCAUGGAACAACUUUUGAUGCAGCACCUGGAGAUGCGGGGGAAGGUAGUCCUGGUUCAAAUUGUAAAUCCUGCAAGAAGCACAGGGAAAGAUGUUCAGGAAGCGAAAAAGGAAACAUAUUCAAUGACCAGAAGGAUAAACCAAGUCUUUGGUUUCCCAGGCUACGAGCCAGUUGUUUUGAUUGACCGUAGCCUUCCCUUUCAUGAGAAGGCUGCCUAUUAUUCCUUGGCAGAAUGUUGCAUCGUUAAUGCUGUAAGGGACGGAAUGAACCUGGUUCCCUACGAGUACAUCAUUUGCAGGCAGGGUAAUCAAAACAUCGAUAAAGCUGUUGGAGUUGCCUCUGAUUCCCCUCGUACAAGUACACUUGUUGUCUCGGAGUUCAUAGGUUGCUCACCAUCUUUGAGUGGAGCUAUCAGGGUGAACCCGUGGAACAUUGAAGCUGCAGCUGAUGCACUCAAUGAGGCCCUCACAAUGCCUGAUUUGGAAAAGCAGUUGCGGCAUGAGAAACAUUUUCGGUAUGUUAGCUCUCAUGAUGUGGCUUACUGGUCCCGCAGUUUUCUACAGGAUUUGGAGCGAGCGUGCAAAGAUCAUUACAGAAAACGUUGUUGGGGAAUCGGUUUUGGUCUGAAUUUCAGAAUUUUGUCGCUUUCUCCAAGUUUUAGGAAGCUUUCGAUUGAUCAUAUCCUCUCUGUAUAUAAGAGGACAAACAGGAGGGCAAUAUUUUUGGAUUAUGAUGGAACAAUAAUGCCUGAAUCUUCUAUUGUUAAGACCCCCAGUUCCGAAGUCAUUUCUGUUCUGAAAAACCUUUGCAGCGACCCCAAGAACACUGUGUUUAUUGUGAGUGGAAGGGGCCAAAGCUCUCUUAGCGAAUGGUUUGCUCAAUGUGAGAAUCUCGGUAUAGCAGCUGAGCAUGGAUACUUCAUAAGGUACGUUCUUACGUGUGCUUAUAAAUGUAAUUUUAUACUUCAAUGUGACUCUGGCAAUUGUCUAUACUAGUAUUGAUUCUGCGUUCAAUUUUAUUUUCUCACAGAUGGAGUAGUGCAUCCAGUUGGGAAACCUGUUCGUUGGCCAUAGAUCUCGAUUGGAAGCAAAUUGCAGAACCUGUGAUGAAGUUAUAUACAGAGGCAACCGAUGGCUCCUACAUAGAGACCAAGGAGAGUGCCUUGGUGUGGCACCAUCUAGAUGCUGAUCCUGAUUUCGGAUCAUGCCAGGCCAUGGAAAUGCUGGAUCAUCUCGAAAAUGUCCUUGCGAAUGAGCCCGUAGUUGUUAAAAAGGGUCAGCAUAUCGUCGAAGUAAAGCCACAGGUAUUGAUGUUCUCCGAUUUCUUUCCUCACUUUUGCAUGUCUCUGUUAGUAUAGUGGCCUAAAGGAUGUCGCAUUGCUUCUUAAACUGCAGGGAGUUACUAAAGGAAUAGUUGCACAGAAAGUUCUUUCCAUGAUGAUUGGUAAUGGGAAUGCGCCAGAUUUUGUGCUGUGCAUCGGGGAUGAUAGAUCAGACGAGGACAUGUUUGAAAGCAUAUCGAGCACAACAUAUAGUUCAUCUCAAGCUGCAGCUCCCGAGAUCUUUGCAUGCACUGUCGGACAAAAACCUAGUAAAGCCAGGUACUACCUCGAUGAUACAGCAGAUGUCAUCACUUUGCUCAAUGGCCUGGCAACCGAUUCAAGUCUCAGGGCACGGUCCAAUUGGGAAAUUCAAGUCCCGUUCGAGAAUAUUAUCUGAGAUGAAUGAGCUGCCACUGUUCGGCAACGUGCCUAGGGUAGUGAAGAACAUCGAUGGAUGCUGUUCUUCUGAUGAUACAAGCAUACACAAAGGAAUCGUUGAUUAACUCUUUAUGUUUCGAUACGCUAACUUAUUCUUUGCAUGGUGGAAAGCCGGACAUGAUGCUGCUCCGGGUGUUUCUUUCGAAGAGAACGAUGAUCACCGAAGGGUUACUGUGGAUUUGGAGACGUCAAUGAUCACGCAUGGUUACGCGGUGGCGCCAUCAACCAGAUGGGCUUUAACUUCUUAGUUCACAGGUUAAAACUUGUUCUUCUUUUCGUCAUUAGUAGUCUUCACAGAUAGAUACAAAGGGCAUCAUUUGUUUGUAAAUUUGAACUGGCUUUGUGUUUACAUGAUACUCUAUUUUUUCUUCUUCUUAUGAAAUCAUAGUUUUUACUGAAAGUUGUCUCUGGCAAAUACUUCUUUACAUUCUCAAUGGAGACGGGAGUGCACUAAAUUAUUAUUUAAAGUACCAAAUUACACUUGCAGUGUUCUUUACGUGUGACUACACAACUAUGUGAAUCCGGCAAAAUCUGAAGAGCAGAGUCUAGUAUUUGCCCUCCAUUUGAUUACCGCUCGACAAAAUGCCAAUUUUCAUUUUUUGAUCUUAAUUGUAAUCUUAAAUGAAACAACGGACUUCAAUUCGUUAUAGAGUGCUAGUAAAAAUUACAUUUUGAGAGUGUGGCUAGUUUUGAUUGGUGGGUUUGUAAAAGGAUAAAGAUUUUUUAGUGCGUCAAGAACAUACGUCAGUACAAGUGUCACAAUAUAGGUAGUUGAAUAUUUAAAAAAUAAAUUUUUAACUGCUUAUAAUUUGACACUUGGUGUACCAAAGAAUAUUUUCGACGAGCUGAAUUUUCGACUAAACCCAAUUUUCCAAAACACUAUUGCCUUUUGUGCUCAGUCAUAAAAGAAAAGGGAAAGGGAAAGCAGAGUCAUCGCAGUUGCUGGGUUUUCACUCUUCACAGACCAAGCAAAAACAAUAGAAAGUGAAAAAUGCCUCGUCGUCGUUUCGCCCUCGCCGCCGUUUUCGUCCUCGCAAUCCUUCCUCAUAUUCAGGUCUGUUUCUAAACCCUAAACCUCUGUUUGGUUCCUGAGAAAAUGCACAAGAAAAUUAAAUACAGAUUUAUCAAAAGUUCUUUUGUUUCUUUCUUUCAUCUCUUUCAGUUUAUAGUUUCCGCUGGUGGUUUUGUGCAGGGUUUGGCGAACGAUGAGCAGCACGAUCAGAUCUCCAUACGAUCAUCGCCGUUCGAAACAGCCCUCGAAACCCUUCAGGUGCAAAUUGGGUAAAGUUUCCAUCUUUUUUCCUCUUUCGUUGUGGUCUCGUAAUUCUGGAUCAUUGAAUCUGUUUGGUUUCCGAGAAAAUUUGAGAAGAGGAAAGGAAUUCUUAACCAUGUUAUCAUCAGAUUGGGACCCUUCACCGGAAGGGCUAAAUUUACUUUCCGACAACCAAAAGCGUUAUCGAUUAUACUUGGUAGAAAAACGUAAAAAGGCAUGCUUCUAUGUCAUAGAAGCAGUUUAUGAGAGGUCUGCUUCUCCAUGAAUCACUUCAACAUGUUUCUUAUUAACAACACUGUUAAAAGCGCUUAUGAGCACAAGUGCUUUCUAGAGAAGCAGUCCCAUAUGGGCACUAUUGUGAAACCAAACAAAUAGCAUAAAUAUCAAAAUUGAUUGCAUUUACGUGUAUCGGUGUAUGUGCAUAUGUUUGUUUGUGCGUGUAUGUGUGCAUGUUGAUUGUGUCUCUCUGACAUUGGAGAAAUGUACUGUUUUUGUGUUUCUUUGUAUAAUUUUCAGGUAUAAGUACAAAAAAAUUGGUCUCCUGCGCCGUGCCAUGACCCAUGCCUCCUUCUCCGAAGAGAACAACAAGGCACUGAGCAUUUUGGGUGCCAAUGUCAUAGAAACAUCGGUCUCUAUGAGAUCACUUGAAAGCAACCUUGAGAUAUCUGCAAAAGAGUUGAACCGCCGCAUUUCUGAUGUCUCGAAAGUAGAAUCUUCCUGUGCUGCUGACGGGAAGCGAUUGGGGUUGCAUAAGGUGGUUAGAGUCUCUCCCAAGACGGAUUCUUCAGCUCCCUUGGUGGUUUGUGGGGCUUUCAGAGCGGUCUUUGGUGCAAUUGCUCUUGAUACUGAGAAGGCUGAUGAUGCUGGAGAAUAUUUCUGGCGUGUUCAUGGUGGCCAAGUUGGAGGAGCUCUUGCAAUGUAAGCGCAGCUCGCUCCCUAUCAGCUCUCAGUAGAUAUUAUGCUAGAGUACUAGCUGCUACUUGUGGGAUUUAGUUUAGUACCAGAGGGACUGGUUUGCUGUGAUCUUUCUGUUUGUUAAUAUGGUUUGACAAUAUCGGUCAUUUGGAAUACUUUGUGCCUUUGUCCCUAAACAAUAUUAUGCUACUUGUAAUUUCGUACGUGCGAAAAACAUUGUUAAUCUAGUAUGUUUGUUUGAUAAAAGAAAGGGCAUUUCGUAUUUCAGCUGUACUUUAACUGUGUUUUUUUUUUUGUCAAAUGAUAGAUUUUGUUAGAUUAGAUGUUAGAUUAGCCACUGACGGAGUUCGAACUCACACCGUCAUCAAGGGCUCAACUCCUUUCCACUACUGUGGCAAAGAGCCACUUGCCUUCAACUGUACUUCAAAUGUGUUUUUGUUGGAAACUUGUUUACUAGGAGCUGAUUUGAAUGUCUAUCUUUUCUACAUUCCGUCAGAUAUAGAUUCAGAAAAGAUGCAGGACACGAGCCAUCCUGGGAUCGUUUUAUAUUCUUCUUCGGUAUAUGUUGCAUCAUACUACUAAAGUGUUUCGAUUUUUGCUUUUACUUAACGAACUACGUUUUUCAAUACUUGAUAGUUUGAGAACAUUUUGGAUUUGCUCGACACCGGAAAUGCUUGUUAUGGAAGUGCACUGGUUCUGGUCUUACUUUACGUGAUUAUAGGAUAUCAUAUAUGCUAGAUUGUGAUACACAACUUUGUUUGAGCUGUUCUUGAUCAACGGUGUAUGGAAAAGUGAUUAUCAAGCCCUAGGCCUAGCAUCACUUAUUCUUGAAGCACUUUUCAUUUCUUCUGCUUUUCACAUCACUACUCAGUGUCAUGCUUGUGCAUCGUUUCUCGAUAUAAUCUGUGCUGCUGCUGCAUCAACUUCCGCUGGAUCGACUCAGUUUCGCAACUUCUCUACCUUCUUUCUGUGUUCAUGGAAUUUCUUCGUUUGUUUUCGGCCCGAAUCUCUUCGGGCCUGUUUGGUAUUUCACAGGCUUAGAAAUUGUGAUGGAUUAGAGGUUAGAUCGUCAGACUUGACCUUCAGCCCUUCACCCCCCUUGUUCCAAUAAGAUUUGUCUUAGUUUGAAUAAGUCGUAUGUGGCAUAAGAUUUUUGCUUCCUUUUGAUUGUUUUAAACUCAGAAGCUUGACUGACGUCGUUUUCAGUAGGCCUGAGUGGCCAAUUUGUCCUCCUUCAUGGAAAAGCAUUAUCUCAGAUUCUCUCAAUCAAUGUGGUUGGUGCCAAUCUGUUUACCUUUUUUUUCUACUCUCAUAUUCCUCUACCUUACAAAACAUUAAUUUUGUAUAUUUCUGAUUAGAGGAACACGUUGUCGUAUUUAAAAGAUUCAGAGAAAUGCUUAGCAGGCUCUCAAAAGUGCGACUCUCUGUAGACGUUCUGUCACAUCGUAUUUUUAACAUAAUAUUUUAAUGUUGGCAUGAGAAUUGACGUUUAAACUGUAGUGUCAGAAAAUCUAUGAACAGUCCCGUAUUUUCUCAAAGAUUUAGGAUCAUAUUAUUAAUUUAUGCUAAUUUGCCAAAGGAAAAAAACUAAAGGGAUGUGAUAUUCACACAUCCAAUUUUACUUCUCACACACCUUUUUAAUUUUCGGCUGUCAGAUCGGAUGAAUUGAAGAAGAUUAAUGGACAGAAAUUAUCAAGGGGUGUGUGAGAAGUAAAAUGAAGUGUGUGGAUAGCACAUCCUAAAACUAAAAUACUAAAAGGGGAAGAGAAGAAGAAGGAAGAUGGUAGAGUGAUUAGUCUAUGGCAGCGCUGGAAUUGAUCAUAGUCGGUUGGAGAGGGUUUCUACAGAUUCCCUAAUCACCACCGUUCAUCUUUGUAUUUAAGUUUCUCGUCGGUUCCACUGAAGCCCUGGGACCCGCACGUUCCGACCCGAAGCGUCACCUACAACCGUACAACGCCACUAUUCUUUAAUUUCGGAAUUUUUUUAUUUCUUUUUUUUUUCCAUAAUUAUGCCUAUAAGUUAGGUUCAUCCGCUCCCUAAAACAUAAAUAAUGGAUAAUUAUCAAUAAUUAUAUUAAAAUAAUAAUAAAAAAUCUUAAUCAUUAGGCAAUACCGGAACCACACCAAACGACAGGUCGUUCCGCACACAGAAAGUCACAAUGGCCACCGGCAAUCCCCGGUCACCUCAUGUUUCCGUUACAAACUUCCACCUAUUAACGUCACUUGUAUAAAACAGCCCGUUUCGCAGAGAGAGACGCAAUUUUCUCCACUGGGGUUUUCCAAACCUCUACCUCUCUCUCUCUCUCUCUCUUCGAUGGAAGACAUUGACUUGGAGUCCAUAGGCCAUGGAGGAUCAAGGUCGCGCUGCUGCUUCUGUAUUCCGUCGUCAUGGUCGCGGAUGCGGACCUCCCAAAACGAUGACCGGUGGUGGUCCCGAGGC